CUUGAGUUCACUCCAUGCUUCUUGAUGAGUCAUUUUGCACACUUUGGUGGGACAACUAUUCAACAAAUGCACAGCACGCUAAGCAAUUUUAGUCAAAACUUUUUUGGCAUCUUCUUAGUUUUCAGCAUACUUCAAGUCAUUUUCAUUAUUGUCAUAUUCUUUUCUCUGCUUCAAGUCAUUUUCAUUAUUGUCAUAUUCUUUUCUCUGCUACGCCAUUUGUUUAGAAGACAAGUGAACACAAAAAAAAAAAUGAUAAAAUGCCAUGAUCUUAACAAAAAUUCUUGAAUGUGUUGCUAACAUAAUCACCACCAUGAUUUGAGCAUAAGUUUUUGAUCUUGUGACUACUUUGAUUAUUCACCAUUGCCUUGAAAUUCUUGUAAGCUUCAAUUGGAUCAGACUUUUCUAUAAGAAAAUCACCUAAUAUUUUACGAGAAAAGUCAUGAAUAAAUGAAAUGAAGUAAUUACUUUUAUCAAAUUAUGCAGGCUGGAGCGAUCCAUAGAGAUCCAUAUGUACUAAUUUAGUAGUCUUGAUGCUCGAAAACUUGCUUCUUUCGGGAAAGUUUUCUGAUUUCUUUUCACAGGCUCUUCGCAAAGUCGAUUUGGAUGAUAAAUAUGUUAUGGCCCCUUCACCAUAUUUCACUUUGUAAAGAUUUAGACCGUCAAAAUUUAAAUUGCCAAGUCUCAAAUGUAAUAGACAUGUUGAAUCUUUCACCUGUGCCUGCAAACACUCUACUUCUCAACUUUGAAUAUUCACAAGAUUAUCUGUUUCUAUAUGAUUGGAACUCUAUGAAUAAAAAUUGGAUAAAAUUCAAAACAUUUGUCUUCAUAAAAGGAAUAUAGUAAACACUGAAUAUGUAUUGUUCUUCAUUCUUCAUUUGGAUGAGAAUUUUACCUUUGACUUGCACCUUUGAAUCAUUACCAAAUGUGACGUGGUGAGUUAGUUCUUCAAGUUCCAUGAAGAUAGAUUGAUCUCCACACAUAUGAUUACUUGCUUAGGUGUAUAAGUACCAAGAAUUAUUGCCUCCUUUUACCUUGUAUUUUCAAGAGUAAAAUUCAUUUUCGUAUCUUUAUUUUAAUCGUAGGUGGAUUGCUCCCCCACAUUGUUACUUCUGCACUAACAUACAAAAUGACUGAGCUUGUGAACAUUAUAUCAUUCAAUUUGAGAUUUAUCAUAUCUUCAACCAUUAUUCUUUUCUUCCUCUUUUUUGAGAUUGUCUUCCUCACCCUCUUGAAUUAUAUGAAUAUUGGAUUGAUGUUGAGAAUUUCUUUCUCCAAUUCUAUGUCCUCUUCCAUGUUUUCUACCUCUUUGGUUCAUAUUGUUCUUCUUACACGUUCUUUC
rnacentral:lncRNA from 1 species